AUUGAACGCUGGCGGCAUGCUUUACACAUGCAAGUCGAACGGCAGCACGGGCUUCGGCCUGGUGGCGAGUGGCGAACGGGUGAGUAAUGCAUAGGAACGUACCGAGUAAUGGGGGAUAACGCGUCGAAAGAUGUGCUAAUACCGCAUACGCCCUGAGGGGGAAAGUGGGGGAUCGAAAGACCUCACGUUAUUCGAGCGGCCUAUGCCUGAUUAGCUAGUUGGUGGGGUAAAGGCCUACCAAGGCGACGAUCAGUAGCUGGUCUGAGAGGAUGAUCAGCCACACUGGGACUGAGACACGGCCCAGACUCCUACGGGUGGCUG
rnacentral:rRNA from 1 species